rnacentral:rRNA from 1 species
GAUGAACGCUAGCGGGAGGCUUAACACAUGCAAGUCGAGGGGCAGCAUAGGGUAGCAAUACUCUGAUGGCGACCGGCAAACGGGUGAGUAACGCGUAUGUAACCUACCCUGUACAGGGGGAUAACCCGGAGAAAUUCGGACUAAUAUCCCAUAACAAUAUCCGGGGGCAUCUUUGGAUAUUUAAAGUUCCGGCGGUACGGGAUGGGCAUGCGUAACAUUAGCUAGUUGGUAAGGUAACGGCUUACCAAGGCUAUGAUGUUUAGGGGUCCUGAGAGGGUGGUCCCCACACUGGUACUGAGACACGGACCAGACUCCUACGGGAGGCAGCAGUGAGGAAUAUUGGUCAAUGGGCGCAAGCCUGAACCAGCCAUCCCGCGUGCAGGAAGACGGCCCUAUGGGUUGUAAACUGCUUUUCCAGGGAGAGAAACUUACGCACGUGUUGCGUGACUGACGGUACCUGGGAAUAAGCAUCGGCUAACUCCGUG